rnacentral:rRNA from 1 species
AAUCAACGCUGGCGGCGUGCCUAACACAUGCAAGUCGAACGCGAAAGGGGGCGUUCGGCUCCUAAGUAGAGUGGCGUCCGGGUGAGUAACACGUAGGUAAUCUGCCUUCGGGUGGGGAAGUAACCAGUCGAAGAUUGGCUAAUACCGCAUAAUGCAGCGGCACCUAAUGGUGAUUAGUUGUUAAAGCGGGGGAGUCGUAAGACCUCGCGCCUGAAGAGGAGCCUGCGGCAGAUUAGCUAGUUGGUGAGGUAAUGGCUCACCAAGGCUUCGAUCUGUAGCUGGUCUGAGAGGACGGCCAGCCACACUGGCACUGACACACGGGCCAGACUCCUACGGGAGGCAGCAGUGGGG